rnacentral:rRNA from 1 species
CAACUUAAAGGAAUUGACGGGGCCCGCACAAGCGAGGAGCAUGUGUUUAAUUCGAUGAUACGCGAGGAACCUUACCUGGGCUCGAACGUAAGAUGACUGUAGGUGAAAGCUUACAUCUCUUCGGAGCAUUUUACGAGGUGCUGCAUGGUUGUCGUCAGCUCGUGCCGUGAGGUGUCGGGUUAAGUCCCAUAACGAGCGCAACCCCUUUCCUUAGUUGCCAUCAGGUAAUGCUGGGGACUCUAAGGAUACUGCCCGGUUAACGGGGAGGAAGGUGGGGAUGACGUCAAGUCAGUAUGUCCCUUACGUCCAGGGCUACACACGUGUUACAAUGGCCGGUACAAUGAGUUGCGACCCUGCAAAGGUAAGCCAAUCUCAAAAAACCGGUCUCAGUUCGGAUUGCAGUCUGCAACUCGACUGCAUGAAGUUGGAAUCGCUAGUAAUCGUAGAUCAGCACGCUACGGUGAAUACGUUCCCGGGCCUU